GCGCAGCAGUCGAGAAUCCUUACAAUGUCUUCACGGACGAUAGGGGAAUCCUGAGUGCUCUAGCAUUGCUAGAGCUUUGCUUACUGAAAAGGUAGGCGAAUAAGUGGUGGGUAAGACGGGUGCCAGCCGCCGCGGUAAUACCCGCGCCACAAGUGGUGACCACGUUUAUUGGGUCUAAAGCGUUCGUAGCCGGCCUGAUAAAUUCUCGGUGAAAUCCUGUGUAAAUCAUAGGGCGUGCCGGGGAAGACUGUCAAGCUAGGAACCGGGAGAGGCUGAGGGUACUCCAGGAGUAGGGGUU
rnacentral:rRNA from 1 species